UAAAACUCUUAAAAGCAAAAGAAAGAAGAAUCAAAGUAUAAAAAAAAAAAUACAAAGAAAAAUAAAGCAAAUGGAAAGAUGCGAAAAUCAAAUAAGAAAACUAAAAGAACAGAAAGAAAAACAUAUACUAAACAAGUAUGUUGCACUAGGAACGUCGAAAUUGAAUUAUCUUGAUCCCAGAAUCAGCAUAGCUUGGUGUAAAAGGUUUGGUGUUCCAGUAGAAAAGAUUUACACCAAAUCGCAAAUGGAAAAAUUUCAGUGGGCUGUUGAAAUUGCAACGAAAAAUUUUAAAUUUUAAUUCCAGAACAGAAAAUAAAAAAAUUAUGUCAAUGUUUCUUUGAAACAGUAACUUUGUUUUCACCAUAUUAAAUAUUAGUAAUUUGCAUAUUAAUAUCUAUGUGCU